CGCGGGGCCGCGGCGGCUCCCGACCAGCCCCUCGCUUCGGGCGAGGGCCGGGUUUGGUCGGAUGCGCUCUACGGGUUCGGAUCCCGCGCCGGCGACC
rnacentral:tRNA from 1 species